ensembl:ncRNA T10H9.9 ncRNA
AGUGUGACACUCGCUUAAUUCAUUUAUUAUGUAUGACAAUUUAUUCAUGCAUUCAUUUAUUUUCAGC